rnacentral:rRNA from 1 species
CCAAUAGCGUAUAUUAAAGUUGUUGCAGUUAAAAAGCUCGUAGUUGAAUUUCGGGGUCAGUAGGUUGGUCGUGCCACUGGUAUGUACUGGUCUCACUGAUUCCUCCUUCCUGAUGAGCUGUAAUGCCAUUAAUUUGGUGUUGCAGGGAAUCUGGACUGUUACUUUGAAAAAAUUAGAGUGUUUAAAGCAGGCUAACGCUUGAAUACAUUAGCAUGGAAUAAUGAAAUAGGACGUUCGAUCCUAUUUUGUUGGUUUCUAGGAUUGACGUAAUGAUUAAUAGGGAUAGUUGGGGGCAUUAGUAUUCAAUUGUCAGAGGUGAAAUUCUUGGAUUUAUUGAAGACUAACUACUGCGAAAGCAUUUGCCAAGGAUGUUUUCAUUAAUCAAGAACGAAAGUUAGGGGAUCGAAGACGAUCAGAUACCGUCGUAGUCUUAACCAUAAACUAUGCCGACUAGGGGUCGGAUGAUGUUAAUUUUUUAAUGACUCAUUCGGCGCCUUACG